ensembl:lncRNA
UACUGUACUCUGUACCAACUUCUACCUAAAAUUGUAUUACUAAAGGAGAAUCGUAAUACUUAAAUAAAGAGUCUGUUUCCUUUCUACUACCAAUAUAUAUAUUUGAUAAUUAUAUAGACCUGAUCAUCUGCUGAAGAAAUUGACCAACACGAGGACAAGGAACACCCCUACGCAGGCAUCCUGGAUGGGUCAUCCAUUCACAGCUGUCAGGGCCCCCAACAAAGGCCUCAGGGGCCCCAGCACCCCCAGGACAGUUGUCCAGGCCAGCCCAACCUUGAGGCCCUCUACGCCCAAGUCAACAAGACCCACAAUGGAUGCCCUUCAAUUGGCUGACAGGUACGGGGCACCACCACCAAUCACCAACAGCCGAAACAACCACCAACUAAAACCAGCAGCAAAAUCAACAGCAGCAACAACACAUCACCUCAAUACCCUUCAACACCACCACCACCCAAAACCAACAACAACAACAUCAUCCUCCAUUCACACAAAUUUGACAAGACAUCCAUCCGGCCUCAAAUCGCAGACCACGCCAGCCCAGGACCUCCACAUACGGCUUAUUCACCUGAGGGAUCGUCUGAGACCAUACACCCAGACAGCUGAUGAAACUGUGGGUUUGCACACUCGAAGAAUUUCUACACAAACCGUCAAAAACCGUCUCAGGGAAGUUCAUCUGUGUGCUCGUUGUCCUCAUCAGGGUCUCGACCUGACUGCAGUUUGGCGUCGUAACCAACUUCAGUGGGCAAAUGCUGACCAUGGUUGGCCACUGGAAAAGUGUGCUCAGAUUACACAGAUUAUGGUAUUGGCAUACAUUACCUAUGGACAACAAACACAAUUGCAUUUUAUCAAUGGCAAUUUUAAUGCAGAGAUUCAGUUAAGAGAUACUGAGACCCAUUAUGCCGUUCAUCCACUGCCAUCACCUCAUGUUUCAGCAUGAUAAUGCAUGGCCGCAUGUCACAAGGAUCUG